GUGUCAGCAGCCGCGUUAAUACGUAGGUGGCAAGCGUUGUCCGGAUUUAUUGGGCGUAAAGCGCGCGCAGGCAGUUUCUUAAGUCUGAUGUGAAAGCCCACGGCUUAACCGUGGAGGGUCAUUGGAAACUUGGAGACUUGAGUGCAGAAGAGGAAAGUGGAAUUCCAAGUGUAGCGGUGAAAUGCGUAGAGAUUUGGAGGAACACCAGUGUCGAAGGCGACUUUCUGGUCUGUAACUGACGCUGAGGCGCGAAAGCAUGGGGAGCAAACAGGAUUAGAAACCCGUGUAGUCC
rnacentral:rRNA from 1 species